rnacentral:misc_RNA from 1 species
UUUCCGUAGGUGAACCUGCGGAAGGAUCAUUCAUAAUAAAGUGUUUUAUGGCACUUUUUAAAAAUCCAUAUCCACCUUGUGUGCAAUGUUAGAUCUCGUCAAUCUUGGCGAGAUUUUUAUACAUCAACUCGUUCUUUAACUAAUUUGUCUGAAAGAUAUUAUGAAUACUUAAUUCAAAAUACAACUUUCAACAACGGAUCUCUUGGCUCUC